CAGUCGCCGCGGGAAUACGUAGGGUGCAAGCGUUAGUCGGAAUUACUGGGCGUAAAGCGUGCGCAGGCGGUUAUAUAAGACAGAUGUGAAAUCCCCGGGCUCAACCUGGGAACUGCAUUUGUGACUGUAUAGCUAGAGUACGGCAGAGGGGGAUGGAAUUCCGCGUGUAGCAGUGAAAUGCGUAGAUAUGCGGAGGAACACCGAUGGCGAAGGCAAUCCCCUGGGCCUGUACUGACGCUCAUGCACGAAAGCGUGGGGAGCAAACAGGAUUAGAUACCCCCGUAGUCCCUGUCUCUUAUAC
rnacentral:rRNA from 1 species